rnacentral:lncRNA from 1 species
ACCCUGCUUCCAUUAAACCCAGGAGAUGGAUGAGUAGAUGGAGGCCUAAGCCUCUGCACUCUCAUCAGCCUUUGCAGCUUUGCAGACCGACCCGUCACCGGCCAGUGACGGAUGUAGCAGCGAACCGCUCCUAUGGAUCCUAUUUUGAUUCCAGUGCUUUUUAUUCAUCUUUACCUUUUCCAUACUUGAGUCCCGAAGAAGCUCCGGAUCGAGAACGGGCCCCAAGUCGGCAACCGUUGAUUUUAAAGAUGUCGCGUGGAAACCUGCGUCUCGGCAGCCCCAGGGAACGUGAUAGAGAGGGUGGCGACGCUGAGGAUGACGAUCCCCAGCUCUUUCCCGCAGAGCCGAUGAUAUCCUCAGUUUGGAUUCGGCCGUCACCGGGGGCCAACUGCGGGCCGAGGAGGGAAUCAUCCCGGACCAGUGUGGCGAGCUAAUUCUCCGAGCACGUGGCUAGCGUCACCUCCGAGUAGAGGGAGAGCCGAUUUCUACAGCCCGGGAUAGGAGUCCUCUCGCUCCCAUCUUCGUUUCCCAGCGUGGGAGUAUUUUCGCCCCCGGAAAUGUGCCCUAUUGCCUUUGGAACGUCUCUGGGAAUCCCCGAGGAGGCUCGGCGGACUUCGGCCCGAUCCAGACUUGGGUUACGGGAAGACCUAGAGGGGCAGAUGGGUUGUCAUGGCGCUCAACACGGUACUCGGCACGCAGAUCCGCCGAGGUUGAUCGAUCCGACCUUCGAGCGCUUAGUAGGGUGCUCGGUGCCCAGUAAGGGCUCGGUGAAUACCGCUGGUUGAUCGAUCGAUUCAGGAUCGAGGCGAACGCUAUUAAAUUAUAUAACCUGAGGCCUGAGCCCUUCGUGAGCAGGGAUUGUCUCUGUUGGUUGCCGAGUUGCACUUUCUAAGCGCUCGGUGCGGUGCUCCGGCCCCAGGGUCAGAGGUCACGAGUGUCGGAGGUCAUGAGUUCGAAUCCCGGCCCCGCCACUCGGCAGCUGCGUGACUGCGGGCAAGUCACUUCACUUCCUCCGUGCCUCGGUUCCCUCAUCUGGAAAAUGGGGAUUACCCGCGAGCCUCACGUGGGACGACCCGAUCACCCUGUAUCUCCCCCAGCGCUCAGAACGGUGCUCGGCACAGAGUAAGCGCCUUACAAACGCCAACGUUAUUAGUGAGCGCUCAGUGAAUACGACUGAAUGGAUGAAUGACUGGCUACACUUUCACCUGACACUCCCCUCGGUGUGUAUCGUGUGUGUGUGAGACAUUCAUUUUUCCACCGCGAUGCUCUGAUGGUGAAAUCCAAUCCGUUGCACAGUGGUAUAGUUAUAUAAUCGUAUACAGCUGUAUCUAACUAUAGUUGUAUAGCGCUCUCCCAAGCAUUUAGCACAGUGCUCUGCACCUAUUAAGGGCUCAGUAGGUACGGUUGAUUGAUCUCUGGAGCACCUACCGUAUGCAGAGCGUAGUACUAAGUAAUAAUAAUAAGAAUGAUGAGGGUAUUUGUUAAGCGCUUACUACGUGCCGAGCACUGUUCUGAGCGCUGGGGGAGAUACAAGGUAAUCAGGUUGUCCCACUUGAGGCUCGCCGUCUUAAUCCCCAUUUUCCAGAUGAGGUCACUGAGGCCCAGAGAGGUGAAGUGGCUUGCCCAAGGUCACACAGCAGACACGUGGCAGAGCCGGGAUUCGAACCCACGUCCUCUGACUCCCCAGCCCGGGCUCUUUCCGCUCAGCCACGCGGCUUCUCGUCAUCCGGUAGAGUUAGUGGACGUGAUCCCUUCCAUCGAGGAGUUUACAGUCUAGAAGAAGCGGGCGGGCCAUUAAAUCCCGCCUCUGCCACUCGUCGGCCGUGUGACUGUGGGCGAGUCACUUCACUUCUCUGGGCCUCGGUGACCUCAUCCGCAAAAUGGGGAUUAACUGUGAGCUUCCCGUGGGACAACCUGAUCUAAGUAGACUGAACUAUCAAGAUGCAUGAAAAAGCCUGGAGAUCAUCCAUGAGCAAGGGGAAUAAACCGAGCAUAUUCUGGAAGCCAGAUAUCAAAUUUUCAGUUUGAGAUCAGCGCUAUUAAUGCAUUUCUCACCCACGGAUGGGUCACCGCUUCCGGGCUUGAAGAUGUGGCUGCGGGAAGAUCAAGUGGAGAAUUAAUCAAUGCACUAAGUAAUUAAUAGCAAUCCAUUCCACACCUUCCCAUUAAAGAUGACCUUUGAUUUAGCAGGGGAGUGUGAUAUUUGGCGGCAUCGGCUCAUUCGUUAUGAAUUCGUUACCUUUGUUUUUAUCCUUUGUAUCAAUCGGUCCACAGCGGGGGCCUGGGAGUCGCAGGACCUGGGUUCUAGUGCUGCUCAACCGCUUGCCUGCUGCGAGACCUCGGGUGAGUCACCUACUUAACUUCUCUGGGCCUCAGGUUCCUCAUCUGUAAAACGGAAAUUCGAUAUCUAUCCUCGCUCCUGUUUAGACCGUGAGCUCCAGGUGGGACGGAGGCUGUGUAGGAUCUGUUGGCGCUUAACAAAUAGCAACAUCAUUAUCUGUUUAUCGCCUUUUUACCCUCGUGCUUAGUUCACGUUCGGUACAUAGGAAGUCCUUAAUUCAGUUCAGCCGUUUAUUUAUCGGAGGCUUACUGCGUGCAGAGCACUGAACUAAGCGCUUGGAAAGUUCAAUUCGACAACGGAGACAAUCCCUACCCAACAACGGGCUGAUUAUUUGUCAAGCCCUUACUGAGCGCCGAGUAGCAUAUUAAGCGUUAAGGAGAGCGUAUCCAAGAUGCACAUUUUCUGCCCUAAAAGAGAUUGCACCUGAAUGUGUCCACGUUGGCCAUGAUCUGAGAAGCAGCGUGGCCUAGUGGAUAGAGCAUAGACCCGGGAGGCAGAAGGACCUGGGUUCUGAUCCUGCCUCUGCCUCUCGUCCGUUGUGUGAACUUGGACACGUCACUUCGUUUCUCUGUGCCUCAGUUGCCCCACCUGUAAAAUGGGGAUGAGGAAUGGGAGCCGCGCGUGAGAAAGAGACCCACAGACUUCAACCUGCUUCGACACCUAUCGGAAUCCCCCCCUUUCCACACAAGCCACAAGCUUAAUCCAGGGCGAGAAUAAAAACGACGGCGCGGACCCUCGUAGCGUUCCUAGCAACGAUCGCCGAGUCAGCUAUUGAACGGAACGAUCGAAUUCUCGUAUCGAAUUAGGGAUGGGAUUAUCGUCCCGCCUCUGCCGCUCGUCUCCUGCGUGACCUCGGGCGGGUCACCCCGCUCCUCCGCGCCUCGGUUCCCUCGUCGGCAGAAUGGGGAUCGAGACUGUGAGCCCCAAGGGGGACAGGGACUGGGUCCGACCGGAUUAGCUCGUGUCUGUCCCGGUUCCUGGUACAGUGCCUGGCCCUUAGUAAGAGCCGAACAACGAUCGGAGCUGCCGCUAUAUUUCAACCGAGGGCAGGAUGGAGACGUAAAGGCGGGGUGUCUUUUGCGUCGGCGGGGGCGGUGGUCGGGGGGAGGAGAAGACCUCUUGGGGAGGAUGGAAAGUCAGGAGGUUGGGAAACAGGGCACGUGACGCUCCUUCCCGGCCCGGCCAAUGGGAGCGGGGAAGGAACUUAUAUGGGCAGUAUAAAUAUCCGGAGCCCGCCAGCGUCUUGACCAGCUGCUGUUUUCUUUCUCCGGGACCAGCUGUCCCGGGGAGAGUCCGGCUGGACCCGGGGGAUCUCACCGUCCCCGACCCCCGGCCGUGAGAGC